rnacentral:lncRNA from 1 species
AGUUGUGGGUCCUUCUAGUUGUGGCAUGUGGGAUGCCGCCUCAGCAUGGCUUGACGAGCGGUGCCAUGUUCACAUCCAGGAUAUGAACUAGCGAAACCCUGGGCUGCUGAAGCAGAGCACGCAAACUUAACCACUCAGUCACAGGGCUGGCCCCCUAAAGAAACAGAGUUUUUUAAAAAGCAGACAUCACAAUGAAACAUGCUUUAAGGUUAACAAUCAUUUACUGAAUUAACAUUUCCACUUAUAAACAUACAAUUUGCAUAUACAGGGAAAAAUAGGUUCUGUGGACACACGGAAUACAAGAGACAGGGAAGCAAUCAGAAGAAAGAUCAACUCUAGUGGGAAAAAAAUGGAAGUGCAUUCCAUGCCUCUGUCUACACAAACUUGAGAAGGAGAAAGAAAGAUUACACAGGAUCACAACUGAAGUAGAAAAUAAACUUGGGUCAUUCUGUCUCAACUGCAGGAACUUGCCCUUAUGAUCAGAUCUUGGGUCCUGGUCUGGCCUGUUUCAUGGAUGGUGAUCUGAAAUCAGCCUCUGGUCUCUCCCUUCUGUUUACUAGCUAAGACCCUAAAGUUAACUGCAGGAAUUACAAGAAGAGAGCUAAAAAACAACCCGGUCAGCAGGUAUACAAUGUCCACGGCCAACUUCUUCCAGGUACAUUACUUAAAAGUGCACAUGGAAGUAAAAUGCUUACUCAAAUCUGAACGAGUUCCUUCCAGCUCACUGGACUUCUUGAUGUAGAACUACCUAAGUGAGGCAAUCAAAUGGUUGGCACCCAUGGGAGGUGGGCCAGGGAAAUGAAAUCUCAGCCCAUCUUUACAACUGGUAUGCAUUUCACAUCAGCAUCUAGUCACUAGCAACAGGGAACUUCCAGUCUCAACUACAGCUGCUCAACGGGGCUGGCCCUAGUGGGGACAGGGACUGAGGAUGGGGCACACAUGUAUGCCAAACUUCAGUCCACAGCUCUCCCCCUUCAGUCUGAGGGCAGCUGGGGGAAAACCAGAAGAAUGUUUGCUUCAAGGGCAUUUCAGUGGUGUGACUCAAUACUCUGUGGUUCCAGUAACCUCAAGCUCAAAAUUAAUACCCCAAAAUGCAACAUUAACAACUGAGUUUAAUAUUCUGUAAGUAAAGCAUACAGUCUUAAGAAUGAUUACCAUUUGAACAAAGCCAUUCUUACUACAUAGGAUGUAAAAUCAUAAAAGUAACAUUUUUACCAAUCCAAACGACAGUGUUAUCAUACAUCACAUCUGGUAAUUUUCCACCAGGUCAAACAUCCAAAGAGAUGACAAUUACACUUCCUUUUUGCUGGAAACAGACUCUCCAGUGUCAACAAGUCCAUUAGAAUUGACUAGGAAAACAGACCUGCAGUCACCACAAAGUUCAUUUGGCAUCUGGCUUCACAGGGAGAUCUAUUUAAGCCUCAGAGAUGGAGUCAGUUGACCAGUAAAACAAAAGAGUAUGUAUGUAUGUAUCUGGCCAAACAGCAUAAAAAAUAGAAUUUGUGCUACUAGGAGUGUA